rnacentral:rRNA from 1 species
UCAUAACCCUUUGUUGUCCGACUCUGUUGCCUCCGGGGCGACCCUGCCUUCGGGCGGGGGCUCCGGGUGGACACUUCAAACUCUUGCGUAACUUUGCAGUCUGAGUAAACUUAAUUAAUAAAUUAAAACUUUUAACAACGGAUCUCUUGGUUCUGGCAUCGAUGAAGAACGCAGCGAAAUGCGAUAAGUAAUGUGAAUUGCAGAAUUCAGUGAAUCAUCGAAUCUUUGAACGCACAUUGCGCCCCCUGGUAUUCCGGGGGGCAUGCCUGUUCGAGCGUCAUUUCACCACUCAAGCCUCGCUUGGUAUUGGGCAACGCGGUCCGCCGCGUGCCUCAAAUCGACCGGCUGGGUCUUCUGUCCCCUAAGCGUUGUGGAAACUAUUCGCUAAAGGGUGCUCGGGAGGCUACGCCGUAAAACAAACCCAUUUCUAAGGUUGACCUCGGAUCAGGUAGGGAUACCCGC